rfam:Auricularia subglabra TFB-10046 SS5 ATRDEscaffold_118_Cont2641, whole genome shotgun sequence.
GGCCUCGUGGCGUAAUGGCAACGCGUCUGACUUCGAAUCAGAAGAUUGCAGGUUCGAUCCCUGCCGUGGUCA